AUGCAGUGCCAAGGUGGGGCUGGGGACGCCAUUCACUGUCAAAGGGGAGGUGCUCUGGCUGGCAGCCAUGUCCAGGAGGACGAGGAAGCUGUGCAGGUGCCCGCUGGGGAAGCUAGCCAGGCACCCAGUGCUGUGGGCGCAGCUGGAGCUGGGCUCAUGGCGCCCUCGGGGUUUGGGCCGUGCAGGCUGGUGGUGACUGGGGUGUCAGGCGGGGUGUCGGUCGGUCGAGUCUUGCGAAAGACACACAGCUCUUCCCACGCUGUUUCGCUUCUGCCUCAGCGGUGGUCCAGCUGUCGCCACCGCACAGCGUGCAGGUGACUGCUGCCGCGGAGGCAGGCCCGUCUGCCCUCCGCCUCCCAGCAGCACACGCCGCCUCUGAGACACACCAGCUCCCUGCCUCCAAGCCUGGUGCCACAGGCCUGUCGUGAGGGACCCCUGCUUCCGAGAGCUCCUGGGGGGUUCUACCCUUCACCACCUGGGAGAGGUGUCAGUUCAGUUCUGGGUUGAACAAGGCCCGUGCACACAGCAUGCUGGGGACCCAGCCUAAAGUUCUUGUCACCUCCUCAUGCAAAGCCAGCAAUCACUCUCCGGCCAGAGCCCCCAAACCUCGAGGUGGCCCCUUGGCCAGCCCCUCCUUGGGCCUCCAGGAGGACCGAGGACCCCUCCCAGCGGCUGCCCGUUGCCCUCCGCAGGGCUGGCUGUCAGGGGCAUGUCACUCUGUGCCGUGGACUGAGACCAGCUCCUGGUGACAGAAUGACCCGCGUGUUGGAGAUGCCUCGCUGUCAGAGAAACUCCCCAGGCAUCUCGGAACGAAACUAUUUAGUUCCAUUGUGAACUGGCCACAGAACAGCUUUUUAUCAACUUAUUAAGUUGGAGCACUCUAAUAGCUCUUGCUGAUUUAGCAAUGGUAUAAGUGUGUGUUAAACACAUAAUGUUAUGUUUUAGGAGGAGGAGGAGGAGGUCGUCAGGAAGGGUCAUGUCAUUCAUGACUUUCCUGUUAGUUGGGUAAGUGGCCUCAUGUUUGUGUCCGUCUGGACACAGAGCCCUUGGGUUCUGUCAUGUUUCUUUGCCAGGUGAACGUUCGUGGCAUGCACUGCUGUUUGCACCCGCUCUGUCCUGCACAAGGUUCGCUCGUGCAGCGCCCUGAUUGCCUCUGCACCGGGAACCUCCCUGCGUCUGUUUCUCUGUUCCUCUGUGGCUGACUCAAUAAACUUUUCCCUCUGACAUGA